GCGUUUCCAUAUUUCACAAAUAACACAAAAAACGAAAAUGAUAAAUUUAUUAUAAUAAGAGUAAUCAGCAUUAAUAGUCGUACAAAAUUAUACUCUUUUAUGGUUUAUUAUUUACAAAGAUGUACUUCUGUCAAAAAUGAGAUUUAAGUAAAUGUAGCUGCGCUCUUGUAAGCAAUGGGUGACGUCACCGGGCCGCUGGGCUUGUGGGGAUUGUAGUUCAUUCAAAAUCCCCAACGUUCUGCCAACGUUGCUAUGACGUUUGUGUAACGUGACACGUGCGCUGGCUGGGGACAGCUUGAUAACCAUUUCCGCAUAUUUCUCGCACAUAUCGCAGUGUUUAUCAAGAGAUGCGUGUUAAAGGGUUUAAUUUCGCAUAAAGUGCUGUUUGUAAGUGAAGAAAUACAUCCACAUAAAUGGACGCAAACAGUGUCAGUCGUGUGAACUGGGCCAUAAACCGCCGGGCGGAGGGUUUAGUAAGUAAACACAUGGCAGACAUGGCACAGAGACGCUCAGCGGUGUCUGAAGAGGACUCUAUGCCAGGAGACCUGAGCAGAAGCGCAGAAGACGUCCCGGGGCGGGCCGAGGGGAAUCUCAGCGCAGAUUCACAGUCCUUCAAUCCUGCAGGAGUGGCGAGAAAGUUGAUGCGCGAGGACGCGUCUUCAUCAUCAUCAUCAUCAGCAGAGGCAGCAGCCCAUAGACAAAUCAUAUCGCUCCUUAUUGAGAUCAAGGAGGAGCAACAGAGGCAGUGGGAAGUUCUGAAAGACCUGCAGGCCAGGAUUCAUGGACAGGUGUGUGAGGAGGAAGACAAGCCGCUUGACAUAGAUCUGCCACUGCGAACAAUGGAACAGCUCGAUGAAACGGAGCAGCAUUUAGAGGAUGCUGAAGCUCAGAAGAGAAUGGUGUCACACCUCUCACGGAUGGGCGGAGCUACGGUAGAUGAUGCGGUCCGGCGUCUUAUGCACGCUGUUCUCUCUUUCAGUGUGGGCUCAGAGCUCAACUGGGUUGGCAGAGGACAGAAAAGGAGCUUCAGAAACACCAGACUGCAGGGUGUUUUAUUUCGUGCCUUGAAGAGGACACCUGUAGGAAAGGAGGCCACACACCAUCAGUUUGCUGAUGUAGUGAAGAAAUGGUUGCGGUUUGCCCCUUUCCGACAAAGAGGAAGUGGACGAAGACCGCAUUGGAAACCUGUUGAGUUCAUCUGUCCCAAAUAUGACAGUACUGUGGAAGAUCAUAACCAGCUUAACCAUAACCAGCUGGAUUCUGGUGAGAUUCAGGUGACAAUAUAAUUACACUAAGUGUUGUAUCCAAAGACAAGUAAAGUGAAAUCCUUGAAUGAAGAGAGUGUGAAAGAUUGGCUUUCAAUUUCUUUCUUUUUUUUCAUAUUACAUUCUUUCUGCUAUAAUAUUUGCUUUGCUUUCUUUAAGUUAAAAUACACUGUUCUUAUGGGAAUAAUUUGCCGAU
rnacentral:lncRNA from 1 species